GAAGUCUGGAGCUGACAUGUCAGUUUCCUUUUUCAAUUUUAUUUAGUAGUCUGAUGUUAUUCAUGUAUUGUCAUUUUGUUUAUUUUCUUUGGUUACAUCUUCUGACCUCAGACUCGGACUUCUCUUAAACUGAAUUUUAAUGUGCGUAUUGUUAUGCGUUUACUUUUCUGUAUUGGCUAGAUGUAUAGGGGGAGGGUUGAGAUCUCACAAACAUGUUUAACCCUGCCGCAUUUUUGCGCCUGUCCCAAGUCAGGAGCCUCUGGCCUUUGUUAGUCUUGUAUUAUUUUAACUUUUAGUUUCUUGUGUAUAAUUUGGAGUUUAGUAUGGCGUUUAUUAUCACUGAACUAGUAUAUAUUUGUUUAGGGGCCAACUGAAGGACGCCUCCGGGUGCGGGAAUUUCUCGUUGCAUUGAAGACAUGUUGGCGACCUUCUACUGUUGUCUGCUCUAUGGUCGGGUUGUUGUCUCUUUGGCACAUUCCCCGUUUCCAUUCUCAAUUUUAAGAUCAUAGAUAAAGAAUUAUAGUUUAAACUAACUACCGUGCAUGUCAUUGAUCGAACAUUUAUAGGUAGGAGGACAAGUACAAUUGCUUUAUUGUAUUGUGGUUAUUAAAGCGAAAUUUUGGAAGUUGUUCAAUUGAUUAAGAGUAUUGCAAGAUAAUUUGGUAUUUCAAUUUUCUUUUGUUUAAAGGCGAAUUUGUUUUCGUUGAAGACUUAUUCGUCAACAAAGAUUCCGUCCAUACAAGAAUAUUCACAUUUUAAAAGUUUUACAAAUAAGUUUAAGUUUUUGAAAUUGUGGAGAGUGAUUCAUCAUCAUGUUUAAUUGAGAGAUAAUAUUUUAUUCAUCAUAAUUUCUAACUUGUAGACUUUUCUUUUUCUUGUAACGAUGUACA
rnacentral:lncRNA from 1 species